rnacentral:lncRNA from 1 species
CGCCGCCCCUGUCCCUGCCUGCUGCGGAAGAAGGUAGGAGGGCCUCACCCCUGCCAACGGUACCUUCUGAGCCUAGUUCCUCACUGGCCACUGUUUUUGGAAGUCCUCUUUGCAGAACUGGCCUCAAAGGCUCAAGGUCAAAGCACCCCCAUGAGCUGCUUUGGAAAAAGAGAUUUCAUCUGACAACAAGGGAGGCAGCUGAGCCAGGAACUUGUGAUGUCACUGGGCUUCUGGGCCAGCAGGAGGCUGAGAGGCACACAUGUAGAGAAAUACAAAGGUUCCCUCUUGUUUAAAUUAAGCAAAUUAAGAGGAAGUGGCCUGAAUUCCGUCUGUGGGCACCAUUUGCACAGAUGUGGUGGCCACAGAAGCCGCUCACCCUGCCCCAUUGCCCGAGGCAAGGAUGAGCCUGGUGGUGCCAGGCGCCGCUCUGAGACGUGGGACCCUCUCCCACUCUGUGGACCUCCCGACCCCUGAAUGCCUCUUGGAUGAGCAGAGAUGGUGGCCUCGGGCUGAGCCGGGCAGUUUCCAGGCCAGGCUGCAACGGGUGGCUCCUUCCUCUCCAUCCUGGCCAAAGCCUGUCCUGACGGUGGCUCAGGUAUGGCUGGAGUCUGAGUCAUUGGGUCCUUUGUCACUGAUCUGGCUGCUGGCCAGGAACUGGGACACUGAGGCCACAGCAUGGGGACAGGGAGAUCUGCCCACGUAAUGCACCUCGUGGACCUGUGGGGGCUGGUCCCCAAAGCAGCACCCAUCAUUUGGGAUUAUGGUCAACUGCAUCUAACAGAAGCCCAACUUUGGCAAUUUAAACAAACAGGGGGACAGAGAGGCAGCGUUGGGAAGAAGCAACUCCUGAGGACGUCAGUGGGAUCUCAGACUCACCCCCGCCCGACCAUCUGUCGCUUGACCUCACGGCCACAAAGUGGCUGCCACCCCUCCAAGCAUCACACCCACAUUCCAACAGGGAGAGGGAACGGGGCAAUGGCUAAGUCAGAAAGCCUGAGCCUCUCCCAGAAAUCCCCAGGGACUUGACACGAGGUCAUGCGUCGACACAAGGUCACACGUCACUGCAAGGGCAUCUGGGGAGUGUGGUUUCUAAAGCUGUCCUGCUAAACUCCACACCAAAUCGGAUCUGCUAGGAAGCAAAGGGGAGGGUGGGCCCAGUGGACUGCUGAUGGCUACUGCCACAGCCCGGGGAGAGAACAGAGCAUGCCCAGCCCUCCAUCACAAGGGCCAGGCAGGGAGGGCACGAGACACGCCCGGGUGGAGAAGGCGGCUGCACACAAGUGAAAAUGGCCAUUUUGAGUUCGCGAUCGUGUGAAGACACGUAACGACGGGCAUCCAUCGUGCAUCACACAGCGGCGUUUCAAUGCUCCCAGAGUCCUCUGUGUGGGUACCAGCUCUGAUCAAUCCACUAACCUCAUUCCCUGGGGAGUGGAGCUGGCAUUGGACAUCAUGUGUGACUGGUCCUGGUGUGAAUUCUCCCCAGGGAGCAGAGCCCGCAUUGGACAGCACACGGGACUGGUCCCAGUCUGAGCUCUCAAAGGAGUGGGGUUCACAUCCUCAGCGUUUUGUCUGUAAUUAUUACACUUAGUCCAGGUGUAAUUACCCAUAAUUUGAGGAGGAAAGCGGUCAUGUAUUUACCUUGUAAUUUGCAGUCGCACCUUAGACUGAUGUGCUGCCUCUUCCUGCGGAAAGCUCCGGAACCCUUGAAGAAUCUGCGGAGCGUCCCCGCUGCCUGGGGUGGGUUCACUGCACAAGCUGCUCUCCUGGGCUGUGUCCUGGGGACAGCUCAGGUCUGGACUUUGGCCCAACCCACGCAGCCCCGCCCGGACCUGUUCCCACCUGGCCAAGCUCCCUGCUGGCUCCUCUCCCCUGGGCUGCCUUCACCCGCACACUGAGUGACCCGACGCCCGCUACACAGAA